CCACCCCUUCUCCAGAGGUCUCAGGAGACCUUCUUCUAUUCCUAAGCACCCUAAUCAACUACUUCUGACCCCUGGAUUGACCCCUGGAUUGACCCAUCUGCUGUUCAGAAGUACAGACGACCUCUCUGGUAAUAUGGAGACCAAGCAACUCCAGAAGGUUGUUCUCGAGCACACGGAGGAAAAGGACUGACCCCUCCCUCGAGUAUUCCACAUAGCAAUACCUACACACUACCAGAGGUUCCCCCACAACAUCACAAAAACCAGCUCUGCCCACUUUAAGCUCAGGAAAUCCUCAUAACAGAGGACUCAUGGGGAUAUAUGUCUGGACAUUGCAUCUUAAAGAUAAGUGAUACAUCAUUAAAAUGUACUUUUGUGACAUCAUGAAAUAUAGACAAGGGAUGAUUAAUCAGGAAUUGAUUUGAACUUUAAAAUAUUUAUUUUUUUACACUUAAAAAAAAUUGAUCAAGGCCAUAAUACCAAUAUCCCAUUUUCUUGAUGCAGGUUUUUUUUGUCUCCUAGGAACUGCUGUGCUACGUGACUGGAUGGUUGGUGGACAAGCACUCACACACACGUUGAAUUAGCUGAUUUAAUUAAGUUGCCGUCAUUAAUCAGAUUUUUGAUGCAGUGUUGUCUUUUUUCCCUAUCUAUAUAAAGUAUAUGGGGGCGGCAGGGUAGCCUAGUGGUUAGAGCGUUGGACUAGUAACCGGAAGGUUGCAAGUUCAAAACCCCCGAGCUGACAAGGUACAAGGUACAAAUCUGUUCCUAGGCCGUCAUUGAAAAUAAGAAUUUGUUCUUAACUGACUUGCCUGGUUAAAUAAAGGUAAAAUAAAUCAAAUAAAAUAUAUAUACCAUAUAGGCCUACUGCAGGAAUUACAAAAUCAAAUCAAAUUGUAUUUGUCACAUACACAUAUUUAGCAGAUGUUAUUGCGGUUGUAGUGAAAUGCUUGUGUUCCUAGCAUCAACAGUGCAGUAGUAUCUAACAAUACACACAUCUAAAACUAAAAGAAUGGAAUUAAGAAAUAUAUAAAUAUUAGGACGAGCAAUGUCAGAGUGGCAUUGACUAAAAUACAGUAGAAUAGAAUACACUAUGCACAUUAGAAAUUAGUAAAGCGACCAGUGAUUCAAUGGGGUGCAGGGUUGAGUAACCGGGUGGUAGCCAGC
ensembl:lncRNA